GGAGGCGCUGUGGCUCCACACAAAAACCCUCCCUCCAUUUUGCCAAGAGAGGUAGUUUUCAAACUCCACAGCAUACCUGAGCGUUCACCUGCCGAGCUCACUCUCUUCCUCUCUCAGAUACUAAUUGUGUGGGGAGGUAAACACAGCAGUCAAGUGGAGAGGACGGCGAGUCAAGCGUGAAUAUCAAUCUCCCCACAUCAGUGUCAUCAGAUGACUUUGACUGAGUUGAGACGGGCUCAUUAGAGUGGAGGAGCGGGGUGCCACGGGCACAUAACGGCAAUAACAUCCAGGUGGAGGGCUCUGAAGUUACGGGGAACCUGCAGAGCUCACCAGUUACCAGGCUCCACCUGCCUCUUCCUGCUGCAGCCACACAUCAGCUCAGGAAUCUGAUGAACUGUACUAACCUCAGAUUAACCUCCAACCCCGUCUUUCUUUCUCUGCAAUCCCAGACCAUCA